UUCAUCUCAAUAAUAUGUGUGCUUUCUAAAGAGUCUUUCUGGAAUUUCAUUUUAAGGCUGGAAAAUAAUCCAGUGUAUAUACAUGCUAGUCUUAAACUACUCUUAAUUUCCUGCUAUUGAAUAUUGCCUCUAUAGUAGCUCAUUGAUUCACAUUGUUAAAUUUCCAGUGUUCAUGUGUUUUGCAUAGCUUUGGAAUUCAUCUUCAGGCGGGGAAUCCUCCCAUACUUGCGGGUUCUACAGCAUUGCUUUUGUUUUUAGAAAAGAAAGAAAAGAAAACCUUUCUAUGUACAGAUUCUAAAUCGUACUCCCCAUACAGUCAGAGGCAGGGAGUCGAGGGCAGAGGCAGCAGGCGGAGAGAGGGAGAUAGGGCGAGGGAAGGCUGGGGACUGCACCCGGGGGCUGGGGGGUCUCGGAAGCGAGGAGGCCUUGCCUAGCUGGGCUGGCCCGGGGUCAGGCCCUGUAGGUGAGGGCCAAGGCGAGACAUUUACGGCUUAUCUCAAUUUGGACUUGACACAUUGCAAGUGCUCAAUAGCUAUGUGUAGCUAUUGACUACUAUUUUGGACAGUGCAAUUCUAGACCUCAAGAACAAGAAGUUAUAUUUUAUCAUGUAUGAUGAAUAUAGUUUUUCUUUGUAUGUUAGAGGACUAAAUACUGUGGUAUGUUUUUUAUCUUAAACAAUUGAAUACCAAGAAUAGCUAACAUUAUAAUGAAAAAACAAAUGGUCAGUGAAUUUACAUGGUAUUUAAUUUUUUUUUUUUUUUGGAGAUAAUGAGUUUCACUUAAAAUCAGCUAGGUAUUACUGUGUCUAAUAUAGGCAUCUUGGAAGGUAAAUUAGGGCUGUAGGUUGUAUCAUUAGGUCCUUGAGUGUAAACCUCUCCAGGAUUUCACUAAGUGGACCAGGUAGUCAGGUGAUUUAAAUUAUAAUUAAUGUUCAUCCUUUACCCUUGGGAAUAUAUUACGUGUUGGUAGAAUUUGUUCCAUUAUUUUAUAUAAUGAGGUGCCUCAUAAUUUUGUGGCUUGUGAACAAAUGUUCACAUUUGUGAACUUAUUUACCAUGUUGACAAAUGUAUUGGCUUUAUAGUACAGAAGCAUCUCAAAAACCUAAAAGAUUUCUGUUAAGUAAUUUAAUGAAAAACAGACAUUGAUGGGAAAAGUCAGCCAUCCUAGUGCCCUCAAUACAGCAGUUGGAAAUAAUAUACUUUUGAAUGUCUGAAAUAUGUUAGUGGUUUUAGAAAAAGACUAGGUAAGUCAUUUGAGAAACUUAAGAAGACCUAAGAAACUGGCAAUACAUGGUAAUAGCUUACUGAGUUUGCUUUGGGUAAACUCAGUAAGUCAUGGAACUUGCUAUGCAUUUUGGUGGGGAUACCUUUAAUUCUAAUUGGUGAAAUGCAGUCACUUUGAAUUGUAUGUUGAGGGAAUGUUCUCAGGGAAAAGUGAGUUUCUGUGUUGAAUGACUAAGUGAAAGCACUUGACUAUUUGUAAAGCCUGUGGGUAUCUCUUUGAUGUUGAUUAUUAUCUGUGAUUGUUUGUUGAGGGUUUUCUGUUUGUUUUUUAAAACACUUGGGAAAAGCAAAUGGUGAGUGUUACAAUUUAAACAGAUUUUCUUUUAGAGAAUGUUCUGUAGGAAAAGACAAAUAGUUCUACUUGAUCCUUGUUUGUUGAUGCUUUUAUUUGAUUUCAUAUUUAUUGAUACAAACAGCUUUAAACAUUAGAUUAAUUCUAUAAUAAAGUGAUACAGAAGUGGAUGUGUUAUGGGGAAUAGUAUUGAAUAAAGAAGACAGAAGCAGUAGGGUGGGUAACAUCUACUUUGUUUUCAUGACCCAGAAGGACUGUGUGUGUACCAGUAGGCACUUUAUGGAGUUUGUCAAUCCACUAUGGUAAAAUAAUCCAACAAAGGUUAAUGCCAUGUUUGUGACUUAACCAUUGAUGGGUUAAACCAAUUGUCUUGCUUUGGGAUGAAACCUUGGAAAUGAAGGGGUUAUCAUCAAAGGAGUUUUACUACAAUAAAGUAGUCAAAGAAGGCCUACCUGAGAAGAGGAUGAUAGAACUAUGACUUGAAGGAAAUGGGGGAGCGAGCCCUGAUGGGGCAUCAGGAGGGGCAUUCCAGGCAGAGGGUAUGGUGGGUGCCAAGCCCUACUGCAGGAGCAUACCCAGUAGUUUGCAGGAACAGUGUGGUGACCAAGUGGCCACAGAAGCAAAGGGGCUACUAUCAUUUAUUGUCUUCUCUAUUUUCUAGGUACUAUUUAUACAAACUUGAAAUGAGGCAAAUUGGGGAAAAAGUGUUAUAGUGGAACAAUCUAUUUUAAACUUUUAAAAGCAUUGCUUGGAAAUAAAUCAGAAAACAAAUAAAGUGAUAAUACAGCUCCAAUUAUGAUGGGACAUGUCAGAAAACCAUGGAAGUCUGAUAGAUCAAAGGGCUUCUCACUGGCCAAACUCAGACAAUUUGAGUUUCAAAAUAAUGAGAAUAAUGAUUUCAACCCAUUAAAUAAAAAUAAAAAAAUCAUGAGUUCACACUUAAACAAACAAGGGAGUAGGAUACUAACUGAUAAAUGUAGGAGGAAUGAUAAUAUUAGAAAAUCACCAUUUUGCAACCACUAUAGCAAUUAAACAAAUUAUCAGUGGAUGCUAAACC
rnacentral:lncRNA from 10 species